ACAGUCUUCCACCAGGAUGUGACUGAAGGCCUGGCCGAGGUCUGCAGGCCACCUGGAGGGCACCUGGAGAGCCAGGAGCGUUGCUGGGGCCUGGGUCUACCCCAAGACCCCUCUGCCUCUCCCUAGGCUGUGAGCUUCCCGAGGAUGACGCCCCCUCUGCUUACACCACCUGCAGGUGCUCCAGCCCCGGCACUGGAGGGCCUUGGCCACCGACACAGCAGCCUCAUCUUCUGGCUGGAUAAACUCACCUCAGAGCCAAGUGGCCCAGGAGAAGCUGCCUCUGUGGCCCGGUCUGCAGGGUGGAGUUACCGUGGGUCCCUCGCAUCAGACAUCUGCCUGCGGACCAGACACCUGUUCUCCUCCAAGGAGCCUCAAUGUCCAGAGAAGGGAUCCUGCGGUGACCGAGGGACAGGCCUGUCUUCUGGGUCACCACAUCUUGGCAUUUGUUAUUUGCCCCCAGGAAGGUCUGAAGGAUUUUACUUUUAAAAACCAUAGUCAGCCGGACGCGGUGGCUAACGCCUGUAAUCCCAGCACUUAGGGAGGCCGAGGUGGGUGGAUCACCUGAGGUCAGGAGUUCAAGAACAAUCUGACCAACAUGCAGAAACCCUGUCUCUACUAAUACUACAAAAUUAGCCAGGUGUGGUGGUGGGCGCCCGUAAUCCCAGCUACUUGGGAGGCUGAGGCAGGAGAAUCGCUUGAACC